UCUUAAGUCUGAUGUGAAAGCCCACGGCUCAACCGUGGAGGGUCAUUGGAAACUGGGAGACUUGAGUGCAGAAGAGGAUAGUGGAAUUCCAAGUGUAGCGGUGAAAUGCGUAGAGAUUUGGAGGAACACCAGUGGCGAAGGCGACUAUCUGGUCUGUAACUGACACUGAGGCGCGAAAGCGUGGGGAGCAAACAGGAUUAGAAACCCCAGUAGUCCGCGCCGUAAACGAUGAGUGCUAAGUGUUAGGGGGUCUCC
rnacentral:rRNA from 1 species